UUUUCUCUUCUUUUAUUUAUAUCAAUACACUUGUACUGUUUUAUUUUGAAAAACUUUUAUUUUGAAAAGAGGAAGUGUGAUUCCCUCGUUUUAACCUUACUUCCGGUCUCGCUAUAUGCGGCACUUUGAACUGAAGGUGGCAGGCCGUAGACCCGCUGUGCUGAACUUUAUCAGUCAUCUUGGUUAAGUUGAUGGAACACGAGCUAGAGAGGCCGUGUGGCUGACCGUCGCCGUGUCCUUAUUGAUACCUCAUCUUGGCUAGGUUUGAUUUGCUGAUUAAGAAGUUGGAUUGGAUUGCUGGAUCGCAUCCUUGGAUUCUCUCCGGACGGAGAUGGCGAGCCUAUGCCCAGAGCAGAACUGAACAUUGGUCGAGGAGUCCCCUUCUUCUCUUCUGUGUUAACAUCUACGUGGUAACAAUACAAACCACUGACUGAAAAAAGGAGCUGAACUUCAAAGACAAACAUAUUUUGACUUGACUAACGACCAAAAGGACAAAGCUGAAAUACUGAGCUCACCAAUUCAUUUCGCACUCACCUUGAUUCCAUUGUACUCCUGCCGAACCUAGCAUCUGGUCUAAGAUAAUUGAGUUGUUCUGAGGUACUUAAUAAGUCAGGGGUUACACUAUACCAAUAUACACUUCAACAACUAGAAAUGUAUUUGCUGGUGAAAGAAAAGUGUAGCAUAGGGUUGUUUCAUCAAUUCCUGCAUGGAACAGCAUUUAUUUCUUAGAACAUUUCUUUAAUCUGAAUACUAUGAUUGCUAGUUUGAGAUUAUCAUUCAAACCCACAACGGAUGAUGCUCCAAAUUAUAACUAGCAAAAUUAAUUGCUUCUUUAAACCAGAAAAUGUUUUUGCUCUGUCAACAUAACGAUUUUUUUCCUAAUAAUCAGCCUUUGAUUUCUGUUUUUGCAGGUAGUUUACGCUGCAGUAUGGGUUCAUGCCAAGAAAAAGGGUUGAUGGAGAAGUAUAGAGAAACAAUUGCACUGUGUCUUUAUAAAUCUAGAAAAGUAUAUGAUAGGAUGCCAAAAGAGGAACUGUGAUAUUCUAUGAGAAAAUCAGGGGUAGAAGAGAAGUAUGUGAGGGUAGUACUAGACAGCAUGACAGUAAUGAGGCAGCAGGAUGGGCUCCAGGUGGGGGUGAGAUUACAUCAGAGAUCAGCUCUGAGCCCCUUGUGUUUGUGUAACAGAUAAAGUCAGGCAAGAGUCUAUGAGUCUAUGUUGAUGUUUGCAGACAACGCUGUGAGAGUAGGGAGCAGGUGGAAGAGAGUCUGGAGAGGUGGAGGUAUGCACUGCAGAGAAGAGGAAUGACAGUCACUUGAAGCUAGACAAAAAAGAUAUGUGUGAAUGAGAAGGAGCCAGGUGGAAAAGUGAAGUUACAAGAAGUAGAGAUAGUGAAAGUGGAUGAGUUUAAAUACCUGGGGUCAAGAGAGGUGAAGGAAAGAGUGCAGGCAGGGUGGAGUGGAUGGAGAUGAGCGUCAGGGGUGAUUUGUGACAAAAGGAUAGCAGCAAGAAUGAAAGGGAAGGUUUACAAGAUGAUAGUGAGACCUGAUAUGAUGUAUGGUUUGGAGACGUGGCACAAACAAAGAGACAGGAAUCAGAGCGAGAGGGGGCAGACCUGAAGAUGUGAAGGUUUUCAUUGGGAGUGACCAGGAUGGACAGGAUUAGAAACGAGUGUAGCAGACGGACAGCUCAGGUCGAGCAUUUUGGAGACAAAUUUAGAGAUGAGCUGAGAUGUUUUGGACAUACAGAGGAGGGGUAGUGGAUAUACUGGACAAAGGAUGUUAAAUAUGGAGUUGUCAGGUAACAGGAAGAGAAGAAGAGCACUUCACCAAUGGGCUUCUUCUUUUCCUCUUAUCCUUUUUAUGGAUGUAGUGAGAGAGGACAUGCAGUGGUUGGUGUGACAGAGAAGAAUGCAAGCGAUAGGGUGAGAAGGAGGCAGAUGAGCCGCUGUGGUGACUCCUAACUGGAGCAGCCGAAAGAAGAAGGAGAAAAUUAGAUGAAAACAAAUAUGCUUUGUUUUAAUCUCUAAAAUUCCACCAUGUCUAUCCAGGCAAAUAUCCAGAAAUUAGAAAAUGAUACAUUUCAAAUUAAGCCUCAUACAUUUAAGCUUUUAAAUUUGGGUCUUCCAUAUAAAUAUAAAUUCUCUUAAAGGGAUGAAUGUUAAAGUUGACCAAAACCUACCCGUAAUCCUACGUGGGUUUCCAGUGACCGGUAGAUGUUUAGAGGUUAAAAAAACAAGGCCAUUCCAAAGCGAUCCAAUGGAGCAGAACAUUUAUGAUACAUAAUACAUUUAGAAGACAUUAGACAUCUUAUUAGUGGACUUUUGUCUGAUGCAAUGAUACGUAUGAUUCACAGCACAUAAAAGUACUUAAUGCUUUUCACAGAUGUUGUGCAUUUUGGUUGAUACUGACACUGAUCCUACAUUUUAUCAUUUACCCUCUCAAUUGGGGGUACCAAUUGGUCGCAGCAGAUGGCUGUCUCUCCCUGAGCCUGGUUCUGCUGGGUGUUUCUUGCUGUUAAAAGGGAGUUAAAAUCCUGUUAAAAGUUUUCCCUCCUGCUGCUGCCAAGUGCUUGGUCAUAGGGGGUUAGAUGGGUUUUUCUCUCUAUUAUUGUAGGGUCUUUACCAUACAGCAUAAACCAUCUUGAGGCAAUUGUUGUAAUUUGUGCUAUAUAAAUAAAACUGAAUGGA